rnacentral:rRNA from 1 species
CGCCUGGGGAGUGCGGCCGCAAGGUUAAAACUCAAAUGAAUUGACGGGGGCCCGCACAAGCGGUGGAGCAUGUGGCUUAAUUCGACGCAACGCGAAGAACCUUACCUGGCCUUGACAUCCAGAGAGCUUUCCAGAGAUGGAUUGGUGCCUUCGGGAACUCUGAGACAGGUUCUGCAUGGCCGUCGUCAGCUCGUGUCGUGAGAUGUUGGGUUAAGUCCCGUAACGAGCGCAACCCCUAUCCCUGGUUGCUAGCAGGUAAUGCUGAGAACUCCAGGGAGACUGCCGGUGACAAACCGGAGGAAGGUGGGGAUGACGUCAGGUCAUCAUGGCCCUUACGGCCAGGGCUACACACGUGCUACAAUGGCGCGUACAGAGGGCUGCCAACUCGCGAGAGUGAGCCAAUCCCUUAAAACGCGUCGUAGUCCGGAUCGGAGUCUGCAACUCGACUCCGUGAAGUCGGAAUCGCUAGUAAUCGCGAAUCAGAAUGUCGCGGUGAAUACGUUCCCGGGCCUUGUACACACCGCCCGUCACACCAUGGGAGUGGAUUGCACCAGAAGUAGUUAGUCUAACCUUCGGGAGGACGAUUACCACGGUGUGGUUCAUGACUGGGGUGAAGUCGUAACAAGGUAACCGUA